rnacentral:rRNA from 1 species
CAAUAGCGUAUAUUUAAGUUGUUGCAGUUAAAAAGCUCGUAGUUGGAUUUCGGGUGGGACGCAGCGGUCUCGCAUUGCGUUUGUACUGCUGCAGCCCUCCUUCUUGCCGGGGGCGGCCUCUCGGACUUCACUGUCUGGGGGUCAGAAUCGGCGAUGUUACUUUGAGUAAAUUAGAGUGUUCAAAGCAAGCUUACGCUCUGAAUAUAAUAGCAUGGGAUAACACGACAGGACUCUGGCCUAUCGUGUUGGUCUAUAGGACCAGAGUAAUGAUUAAGAGGGACAGUCGGGGGCAUCCGUAUUCCGUUGUCAGAGGUGAAAUUCUUGGAUUUACGGAAGACGAACAUCUGCGAAAGCAUUUGCCAAGGAUGUUUUCAUUG